GCUAACUCAAGGAGCAAACUGAGAAAUGACCUGCUGACCUAUUGUUUGAUUGAAAGAGAAAGAGAAGAGAGGGGAGAGAGAGAAGGAGAGAGAAAAGGGGGAAGAAAGAGAGAGGGGGAGAAAGGGAGAGAGAGAGUGAGGGGAGAGAAAGGGGGACAGAGAGAGAGACAGAGAGAGAGAGACAGAAAGACAGAGAGAGAGAUCAAUUGAUCAAUUGAUUCAUCAGUCAAUCUUUGCAAGAGACAACACCAGAUAGUUACUAGGUGUCAUUUAUGUGCUGAGAUUACUGUGCUGGGUGUUUAGGAGGUAACUAUAGCAUGCAAGUCAGGCAGGGUCCCUGUCUAUAUGGCUCAGAACAGUCUCAUAGAGGAUUAUGACAACAAACACAGGUAAAGCCUCUGGGCUUUGUUAGGACAGGAAGCAGAGAGACCCUGUGGGUCCUCCUCCCUUACUCUUGUAGAAGGAGGCUGAGGGGCAGAGAUAGCUGAAAUCUCAUGGAAAAAAUCUUUUAGAAAUAGUGUAUGAAAGAGGGCAAACACAGAAUGGUUCUGGAAACUGUAGAAUCCUUAGCUCAGGCUGAGAAAUAGUAGAAAGUAGGAUUUUGAUGCCAAGUUAAAAUAGAGGGUAAGUUGAAAGAAUUGGCAAUCUAUCAAGAGUCUGUGAAGAUGAAAGCCAAGAUGAGCAGCUAGAGGAACAGUAGAAACCUCCAAGAAUAAAGAGUGAAGAAGGUUGGAGCUGGAACAUUAAAGAUCAUGUAUUCCAUCCCCACUCCCAGUUUUGCAACUAAAGGAAAUGAUGGGAACCAUGAGGAGAGGCAGCUUUGGAAUGUAAUGAGAGAGACUCCUUUUUCUAUAGUUCUUUAAAAUUUAUAAAGCACUUUCCUUACAAUAAUAUCAUGAGGUAAGUCUUUUAAAUUCAAUCCUAUUUUAUGGAUGAAGAAACUGAGACCUUGUAGAUGAAGGAACUCACCCAAAAUCAGUCAGCUAAUUAGUGGCAGACCCAGGACUCAAAUAGAGAACUCACCAGGGGUCAUCUCUUAGACCAAGAUUUUAUUUUAUGUUAAUGAGUUAAUGAAUCCCAGAAGUCACUAGAGUCUAUAAAAUGAGAAUGUUGAAUUAAAUUAGGUGUUCUGAUUCUUUUUUAUAUCAUAGGCACUCUUGUAAAGGACUAUGAACCUUUAGACCAGAGUAAGAAACUAGGUAGUGCAAUGGACAGUAUUCUAGACCUGGAGUCAGGAAGAUAUGAAUUCAGAUCCACCUUCAGAUACUUACUAGUUGCUUGACCCUGGACAAGUCAUUUAAUUGCUAUCUGCCUCAUUUUCCUCAACUGUAAAAUGAGGUUAAGAAUAGCACCUGCCUUCCAGAGUUGUUGUGAGGAUCAAAUGAGAUAAUAUUUAACUGCUUAGUGGCAGUUAAGAAGAAGAUUAUUUUCAAAUGCAUAGAAUUACCAAAGAAAUUAAUUUUGUUGAAAUGCAGUUGGAAAAAUAUUCUAAAAAUAAAAUAACUCACUCCCAAGUUAA
rnacentral:lncRNA from 1 species